rnacentral:rRNA from 2 species
CGUCUGAUGGAGCACGCCGCGUGAGUGAAGAAGGGUUUCGGCUCGUAAAACUCUGUUGUUAAAGAAGAACAUAUCUGAGAGUAACUGUUCAGGUAUUGACGGUAUUUAACCAGAAAGCCACGGCUAACUACGUGCCAGCAGCCGCGGUAAUACGUAGGUGGCAAGCGUUGUCCGGAUUUAUUGGGCGUAAAGCGAGCGCAGGCGGUUUUUUAAGUCUGAUGUGAAAGCCUUCGGCUCAACCGAAGAAGUGCAUCGGAAACUGGGAAACUUGAGUGCAGAAGAGGACAGUGGAACUCCAUGUGUAGCGGUGAAAUGCGUAGAUAUAUGGAAGAACACCAGUGGCGAAGGCGGCUGUCUGGUCUGUAACUGACGCUGAGGCUCGAAAGUAUGGGUAGCAAACAGGAUUAGAUACCCUGGUAGUCCAUACCGUAAACGAUGAAUGCUAAGUGUUGGAGGGUUUCCGCCCUUCAGUGCUGCAGCUAACGCAUUAAGCAUUCCGCCUGGGGAGUACGGCCGCAAGGCUGAAACUCAAAGGAAUUGACGGGGGCCCGCACAAGCGGUGGAGCAUGUGGUUUAAUUCGAAGCUACGCGAAGAACCUUACCAGGUCUUGACAUACUAUGCAGAUCUAAGAGAUUAGACGUUCCCUUCGGGGACAUGGAUACAGGUGGUGCAUGGUUGUCGUCAGCUCGUGUCGUGAGAUGUUGGGUUAAGUCCCGCAACGAGCGCAACCCUUAUUAUCAGUUGCCAGCAUUAAGUUGGGCACUCUGGUGAGACUGCCGGUGACAAACCGGAGGAAGGUGGGGAUGACGUCAAAUCAUCAUGCCCCUUAUGACCUGGGCUACACACGUGCUACAUGGAUGGUACAA